UACGUAGGGUGCGAGCGUUAAUCGGAAUUACUGGGCGUAAAGCGUGCGCAGGCGGUUUUGUAAGCUAGAUGUGAAAUCCCCGGGCUCAACCUGGGAAUGGCAUUUGGGACUGCAAGGCUGGAGUGCGGCAGAGGAGACUGGAAUUCCUGGUGUAGCGGUGAAAUGCGUAGAUAUCAGGAGGGACACCUGUGGUGUAGACAGCUUACUGGACCACUUCUGACGCUGAGACACGAAAGCGUGGGUAGCAAACAGG
rnacentral:rRNA from 1 species